AGACAGACAAACAGACACACACACACACACACACACACACACACACACACACACACACACACACAGGUCCAAGGACCCAUCAUGGUUCUCUGAUCCAGGAUCAUUUGCUGAUACCUCAAGCUAAUAGACAGCGGGGAGGAAAAGCUGGACAAACACAGCUAGGCUACCAUAGACAAGAAACUGUACACCCGGAUGUGUCCCAAAACACAGGCCAGGAAGAACAGACCCAAAGCAAAACAGGAUGAGCUAUGAACGACUGAUAACCAUUUCCAAACACAGUGAUUAAUGCACAGAUAGGAAAGUGGGAGGAAGUUAUUAGUGCUGGGCCAAAGGGUUCUGAUGAGAUUAAGCUCAGUUAGAUGCUUGCCUUACAUGAGGCCAUAGAAAACAUGCUUCUCUAAUUAGCGAGUGAUCUAACCAGAGGGGAAGUGUGCAGAUAAGCCAGUGAGAAAGGAAUCAUGGAAACUUCGCCCUUAGACGUGCUGUGAAACAAGCCAGAAGCCCUAUGGAGGCCUGGCUGAUGAGCCAGCCAUUCUGCUUUUGAAUGGAUUCAGUGAGUUGAAAUUUCUCUCCUCCUAUCAUGUCUAGAAAUAAAUCCCAACUCAAAAAUCAAAACGAACAUAUGUGACCCUCAUGUUUCAAGAAACCAAAACGAAAGGAAGACAGAAGAAGCCAUGUAGAGUGUUUCUCAAGAGCCACUUCAGUCAGUGUGCAAGCCGUGAGUGUGUACCCCUAUAGUUCUGGGAUCCAGGAAAGGCCAACAAAGUCCACCUCUCGGAUGUAAGGCAGAUCCAGGUGAGAGGGAACCUUGAGCGUCGAUCCCACUUGCUCCUGGCAGAGACUCAAGACGGAGUCUCCCUCUGAGAAAGUUUCUCGAAGAGCUGCUGGGGAACCAACAAAUGAAGUCAGAAGUUGUCUUCGGUGGCCCCUUGAGCAGAUGUCAGCAGAGAGAUGCUUCACUGGAGGCCAUGCUAGGCCACUCCAUCUCGCUAGAGAAAGCAAGAGGAAACGCCCUGAUUCUACAAACCAAGAGUUCAAGUGAGCAGUUGUGAUAUAGAGAACAUCACCUAAGCAACUGGCCUGAAGCAUCCCCUUUCCUCUCACCCAUGAAGUCCCUUCUGUCCUCACAUGCCCCACUUUACUAUCUAGACUAGAAGAGUAUGCACAGCAACCUGCAGGACACAAGCUUGGGGUCAUCAUGAGUGGCUACACUGCUGUAUCAUAACCCACUAUCCAUCUAAUGUGUGGGGGUCACUGCUUCAACACGAGGAGUCGCAAGACAGGAUGAGUGACUCACACAAGCCAGCGAACAUCGAUGCACUUCUCCAGUAAGUGAGAUGAAUCCACCUGUAUCCUGCCAUGAAGUAAAGAAAGCAGUGCAGAGUCCUGGAACAAAAUGACCUGCCUCAGACAACGACUGAACGAUCUCUUCAGAACACAUUCUCCCCUCCAUCCUUCCCUCCCUCCCUUCUUCCUUUCAGAACAACCAUUUCUACCAGCCCCACAUCAAACCCGCCCUAGAGGACUGGAAUCAGCUACCCCUCAGACUUGCAACAUACUUAAGUUGGGGUUCCCCUAAUGUGCUUCUUUCAAGGGUAAAAUGUUGGCUAUUUGAGGUUAAGAGGGUGAAGAAAUUCACCGUACAUGUCUGAAAAGCUAGCUGUGCUAAGCAAGACCACAUGGUGGCAGAUCCACGUAUCUGAAGAUGUGAAAGGAAAGGACCAUACCGGGACUGAGUAAGGACUGAGGCCCUACCACAAUGAGCCUUACUCACCUGUAGCAUGCCCUGUUCUAGAGAGCUUCUAGAAGGUUCUUCCUGGUAAUGACUGCAUAAGGCUGAGAUAGAGAAGGAUCUAGACAUAAUAUGAAAAGCAGCCAUAAGAAUGAAUGUGUGUGAGAGAUAAAUAUAUAGGUAGAUGAUAGAUGACAAAUGAUAGAUAGAUAGAUACAUAGGUAGAUGAUAGAUAAAUAGAAAGACAGAUGAUAGAUUAUAAAUAGAUGAUCAAAAGAUGGAUAGAUACAUAAGUAGAAAGAUAGAUGAUAGAUAGAUAGAUAGAUAGAUAGAUAGAUAGAUAGAUAGAUGAUAGAUGGAUUACAGAUAGACAGGUAUGUGUGUAAUUUUGAGAGUAGAUGUAACAUAAAUGUCUUUAUGAGGUCAGCAUCUUAAUGGUACAUAUAACUAGGAUCAAGGACUAGAAAAGUCCCAUGUAGACUACCAAGCCACUGAUGAAAACCAAGGUUUACAGAAGAAGUGGAAACUAAAGCAAAGGAGUCAUUUACACAUGGGAAGGAGACCUCCCCAUGUAUUCCAUGUGCUCACAGCCUUCCUCAAAGGCAGGGAGUGACCUACUAAGGGCAGAAUAAACAAAUGAGCAUCUAUCUCAGGGCUAGGACCUUCCUGGUUCUUUUCGGAAGGCCAUCCUUCACCAGCCAUCCCUGGUCUGCUGUGGCCUCAGCUCUCCUCCUCCCUUAAGAACAAAGCUUUCAGCACUCCAUCCUCUGUCCUCCUCUCCUCAGCCAUCUCUCCCUUCUUCUCUCUGCUCUCCAAGUGGAUGACCUGGCCCACAUUGCUGCUGCACAUGGCAAGGCAUCUGAGUUUGCUGCAUCGGUGACACCCAAUCCAUCUGUGAAAACAGACACUGUCUUCUCCAUGGCAGGUGUCUGUAGCUCAGUGUCCUUCACAGUUCUUCCGUGUCCCUGUUCUCUGCCCUGGCCCUCACUUUCUCAUGCAUUCCUGGGAAUGAUUAUCUCCAGGCAACACCUUUGAAAUGUCAGCACAGACCUCUUCCCACCUGGCAUUGUCUAAUCCCACCCAGGCACCCUGUCUGAUGCCUCAGACGCAUCUCAAGUGUUACUCGUGCAAAGGAAGCCAGGGAGCUCCAGUACAAUCCUGCUACAUGGUCACACACUCACAUGAACACAUGCGUUCUGAUGCACACUUAUGUGUACAUAGGCACAGAGAAGCACACAGUCACAUAGGCAGGUACACACUGAGAAACACAGAUACACAGACACACAUACCCACACAGAUACACAUGAACAGACAGACGCACAUAGACAGAGACACAGACACACAGACAGAUACAGACAGACACAUAAUGACACAUACACACACACACUCACGCAGACAGACACACACAGACACACACACAUAAAGACACACAAAACAGACAGACAGACACAGUCUCUCUCUCUCUCUCUCUCUCUCUCUCUCUCUCUCUCUCUCUCUCUCUCCCCCUACCUUCAUUUGCUUUGUUUUUGCACAUGCAAUUCUAUUUUUCCAUGGCUCCGAUGUAAAUCCUAAGAGUGUGCCUUGGCCUCUCCUCCCAGUCACAUUUCAUACCUAAUCCUUCAGGAAAUCACGUUGGCUCUGCAUUCAGUUCAUUUCCAGAACUGACCUCACCAGCUCCAUGUCAGCCUGAGCCCCUUCAGGUCACAUAGAGAUUGUUGCAGUGGACUUCUCCUGGCCCUAGUGUGAGAGAAGGCCAUUCUUCUGGAACACAAGCCAGCAUUCCCAACUGAGGAGGCCAUUCUUAAAAACAUCAGCAAACUCAGUUUAGCCCACCUGUAAGUCCACACUGAUCUCGAGUCCUAAAGAUGGCUUUCAACGCCUUGACCAGGCUGGUCCUUCGAUGCUCUCAUGGAGUCUGUCCCCUGUUACCUAUGAGACUUCACCAGAACAGAAGCGACCCAUCCCCCUGCCCCUCUGCAGUCUCUCCCAAUACCACAUUACAAGAAGAUGCAAUUCCUUUACCUUUUUAUCUCGAGGCCACCCUGCCCUGCAGCUCACUCUCUCUGAGUCAUUCUUCAUCAUUUGAAAGACCCAUCGAAGUUCUCAUCGCCAGGGUCAGCAUUCCUGGACUUCUGGAUUGGGUGUCAAGUCUCACAGCAGGAGAUGAUCGUUGUCUGAAGUUAUGUGUCUGAUUUGCAGAAAGCAGCAGGAACUCGGAUAAGGAGGGAGGAGCACUCCAGAUAAUCCGAAGAAAACAAACAUGCAUGAAUUGUUGCCUGUUGAUCAUUCCAAGAUUCUAGAACAGGACUUUGGGUUGCUAUGAGCAGCCCUCCCACAUGGGUGACAACCAAAUGUGCCUGAGUCCACUGGCCCAGUGUCCCCAGGAGGCAAUGUCAUCCCCAACCGAGAAGCACUGACAUUGGGACUGGGUGACUCUCCUUGUCACGAAAGGAGCAAAAGAGAGGCAGAACUUCCUUCCUGGGAUGCAAAUCCAGAAAGGCUGGCUUUAGUACAAUCCAGUGCGCGCCCCCAUUUUGGCAACAUUAAAAGCAAAACAAAAUGCCUGCUGGCAUUGUACAUUUUCAACAUAGCUUAUGCCUCAAGUGCACCAGAUCCAGAUGGACACCACUCUGCUACGGGAAACUCCACGGUUAUGUGCCACCCCUCACUUCUUGACAGGGCUGGAAAGGGUCCUACUGCUUCCCAGUGAUGUGCACAAGAGUUCCGAGUGGCGGUAAGCAGCUACCUUCUGUGGCUUUCCAUGCACAGCGAGUGUCAAGUUCUGUUCCAGAUCACAGUUGCCAACUCAGCGCUGCUCGCUGCUCCAGUGACGACGAUGUGCUUGGUGGCAUCAGUCGAGCGCCAUACUUCACGAGAAGCUUUAUUAAAGACAUUUAUUUUAAAUAAUAAGGUGGAUGAGUUAUUCCGAGCAACCGUGGUUUUGAAGUAUUAUAAGUGCGUACUAAAAAUUUAAUAGACCAUAGCCAGAACUUUGAUUGGUGGAAAAUUUGUCAUCAACGGAACAGAAUUAGUAAUUCCCAAUGAACCUUCUGAGAUAGCCUGCAGCCAUCGGCAAUUUGCAGAGGUUGAGAGAAUUUUUUAAAUUAUUAUUACUAUUGUAAAUAAUUGAUUAUCGUUUAUUAUGAAAUAAUUACCUUUAAGCAAUUACCACAGCUAACAAGUGAUUGCUUAGACAUUAUUGCUUAAUCACUACUCAACAACCACGUGCAUAUGGCCUACGACAGCCAUUGUUCAUUAUUAUUUUUUACGAGCACAGAUGGCUUGGUACAAUCAGUCAGGAAGACUGACGGGAAGUAAUCUUUUUUAAUGUAAUCACCACAUAAAUAUGUCAAAUGUUUUUCUGUUUGUUUUGCUAACGGCAUAACACGAUUUUAAUGAAGAUGCCAUGGCUGGCGGUUUUUCCGUCUAACUAGACAAAAGCAAAAUACGUAGCCGAGCUAUUUAUAAAGAUUUAUUAUAAGGUAUUUAUAUCACAGACACUCAUCCCAUUGGCACGUCUGACCUUGGUUUAAUCUCAGAUGAAAAAUGCAUAAAAAUUGUUUUGCCCCAGUGAUGGUUCAUGGUACGCUGAUGUGGAUGGUCCAUUCGAUAUAGUAUGCAGAUGGGUUAUGGAUACGUGUGUCUAGUUCCAGAAAGGCUGAUCAGAAGACAAGAGGACAGUGGGAUGUUGGCUAGUGCAGGAGAUAAUCUGCUCACUAGAGUUGACCCUGCAAACAACCCAUUUCUAAAAUGCUUAACUGAAACUGAUGGCGUCAAUCAAUAUCCAAGCCGUAGCACGUGAGGCUAUUUAAUCUGAAUAAAGGACAAGCAAAUGCAACUUGAAGCUUGAACUCUGGUCACAGAAGUCAGAGCUCACGUUCUCAGGGGUCAGCUUAGCUGCUUGCAGCUGCGUGCUGCCGUGCAGGCGGGGUUGUUUCCAUCACCUCAGACGCACAUUGGAUGGUUCACAGCAGCCAUGCUCUACACUUUCUUAGACUCGAAGGGUCUGGAUGGGUUUAAGAACUUGAUAAUUUUAAGUGACAAAUGAGAGAAACUGUUGGUUGGAGAAGAAUGGAGACCUUCUUUGUUUGGGGAUGUACAAUUAGAGCCGGAAUUCUAAAGCACAGAAUAGCCUGGAGCACCAUCAGGCCCUGCCUUUAUUAAUUAUUACUGAAGGUAAAAUGAUUAAUAGUCCUGGUUGUUCCUUUGUGCCUGGCACUCUGCUGUUUUCGUAAACGGUCCCUG